rnacentral:rRNA from 1 species
UAUCAUGGCUCAGAUUGAACGCUGGCGGCAGGCUUAACACAUGCAAGUCGAGCGGAGUGAUGGUGCUUGCACUAUCACUUAGCGGCGGACGGGUGAGUAAUGCUUAGGAAUCUGCCAUUUAGUGGGGGACAACAUUCCGAAAGGAAUGCUAAUACCGCAUACGUCCUACGGGAGAAAGCAGGGGAUCUUCGGACCUUGCGCUAAAUGAUGAGCCUAAGUCGGAUUAGCUAGUUGGUGGGGUAAAGGCCUACCAAGGCGACGAUCUGUAGCGGGUCUGAGAGGAUGAUCCGCCACACUGGGACUGAGACACGGCCCAGACUCCUACGGGAGGCAGCAGUGGGGAAUAUUGGACAAUGGGCGGAAGCCUGAUCCAGCCAUGCCGCGUGUGUGAAGAAGGCCUUUUGGUUGUAAAGCACUUUAAGCGAGGAGGAGGCUCUCCUAGUUAAUACCUAGGAAGAGUGGACGUUACUCGCAGAAUAAGCACCGGCUAACUCUGUGCCAGCAGCCGCGGUAAUACAGAGGGUGCGAGCGUUAAUCGGAUUUACUGGGCGUAAAGCGUGCGUAGGCGGCUGAUUAAGUCGGAUGUGAAAUCCCUGAGCUUAACUUAGAAUUGCAUUCGAUACUGGUCAGCUAGAGUAUGG